CAAACCCUGCCUGGUUCGUGGUGAACGUCAUUAUUUUUUGAACUUACAAUGACAAAACGGGGUCCAUCUCUUACCUUGGUGAGCAUGCCUCCUUGUGAGGAAGCCUAAAGAGGUAAUAACGGGUUCCACCUUAAUUAGUUAAGGUUCAAGAUAAGCUUCUCACGACUUAUGGUGGGGUUUUU
rnacentral:other from 2 species